GUGUUUUGUUUUUGGUGGGAAACGGGUCCAAGUGGCUCUUUAAGUGUUUUGGGUUGCCUAUCCCUGAGUUAGGCUGUAUAAAAAUAAUUGACUUUUAAUUCAGUCACUGAAUUCUAAGAAUAUAUCCUUCUCCCCAACUAUAUUCUAUUUGGCCACUCGGUGCUAUUUAUGGUUCCCAUGAAAAUGAACAAAAGAUCUAUAGCCUCUCUACCACUGACUUUUUAAAAAGGGUAGUUUAUAACAAGUACCAUAUCAUAUAUCAUUUGGAGGCUAGAGCUGAACAAGGUAACAAAUGUAUUUGAAAAUAUGGUAAGCUUUCUGAGGUCAAGUAAAUAUAAUAUAAGCAUUUCUUUAAAAAAAAAAAAAGAAUCAAUCCUUCUAACUGAGGCAUGUUCUCCACUGUUUAGAACUCCAGGGAAUAUAAAGUACAGGUAUUUACAUCUAUGAAUGAAGAUUUCCUAUUGCCUAGGACCUCCCUUAUGUUAAGAAGAAUGAUUGCUCAUGCUUGCACCAUUUAUGCAAAAUCUGUAGAGGUUACAAGAAAUCAACAGGAAUUCUAAAAGGCUAAAUUAGUGCUAAAGUAUCAAUGUGCACAUGUUCUAGUUUGCCAACAUCUGAUAGAAUCCCAACUUUUCCUGAGUGACAUUGUGAACAUAUUUACUAGAAGACAUGACAAAUGUACUAUAUUUAUGUCUACCAAAGAAUCAACAUGCAAAAAGUGAAAUUCUCUCAUUGAAUUAGUAACCUGUGAUUCAAGUUUGGAAAAUACUUAUAACUUCCAAUACUAAACAUCAAAGUCAAGCUUCACCAGUACUUUGGGAAUAAAUGAAACUGUUUAGGAUGCUUCCUUUUGUCAACAUCUGGUAAGUGCCCCACCAAUCACUGGAAACAUAACCUCGGCAAUAUUCAUUCUUAUGUUAAGAUAAGGUCAUUUUCAUGAACUUUUGCUAAGGGAUGUCUGUUUAAUUUUAUUCUUGCUUACUAAAAUACUAAUGUAACAAGAUGAAAAAAAUUCAACUUUUCUAAGCACCUUAGAGAAGCACCUUUGUAGGGUUGAUUGAUCCUCUGUGGGAAUUCCCUAAGCAUGGUUGUAGGGUUUACAAUUCCCCAAUUAUGAACUUACCAUUAUUAAAUGUUAUACAACAUAUUAUCACUACUAUCACAGCAGGUGGCAGCACCUCACUAGCUAAUCACUAGAAAGUAAAUCAGAAUCAACACUACCAUGCUUAGGUUGGAGCCCAUCAGAAAAUGCUAGGAUUUUUUUUAAAAAAACUAGAAGGCUGCAACUUCCAUAUGGAAAACACUAUAAUACCCACCUUAACCUUACAUAUAUAGGCUUUUGAGGUAAAAUUUAGUCUUAAUAUCUUCUCCAUCCUCUGCGUUAAGAUUCUGAAGCUGUUGAACUUAAAAGAUGCUUGCUAGGAUUCAUAAAAUAUCUUCCACAGAGUGCUAAUACACAAAUGGUUUGUCUGGAUUUGGGUCAGCGUGUUGUGUGAACCCCACCACUGUGUUUUUUUUUAUUACAGAUGAAACAUAGAAUAAAGCAGCUUUUCCAA